UCCCUGGUGGCUCAGACGGUAAAGCAUCUGCCUGCAAUGUGGGAGACCUGGGUUCAAUCCCUGGGUUGGGAA
rfam:TPA: Bos taurus chromosome 19, whole genome shotgun sequence.